GAAACGCCCACAGGAAGUGACCCCAGGCCGGAAGUGACCGGGCGCGGCCAUUUUGCGUAGGUUGUUAAUUGGUUGCAACCUGUCAGCCGCCGCAGUGGGACGCUGCGGUUUUUUGGUGUGUCGUCGGUGGACGUCCAGUGGGGCCAGUGAGGGGAACUCGGCUUCGGGACUUCCGGUGUCUCUGCAGAACCCGGGGCUCAGACCACACCACUGAGGCCGCCGNNNNNNNNNNNNNNNNNNNNNNNNNNNNNNNNNNNNNNNNNNNNNNNNNNNNNNNNNNNNNNNNNNNNNNNNNNNNNNNNNNNNNNNNNNNNNNNNNNNNAUCUGGGCGGGAAGCCCCAGCCACUGGCGCUGCUCAGUGGAAAGAUGCCUCACCCACCACUGGGUCUCUCUGCUCCUUCUCAGCAGGUCCCCACCUGGCUUCUCACCUGCGUGGCGGGCAUUGCCUGGGGUCCCCUCUGUCCGCGUGGUUUACAGGAGCCAGGAGACUAGAGCAAGAACGGUCUUAUGGAGGUUUUCAACCAGAAGAGAAAAAGAAUCUUUAUUUUGGCACGGCAGCACCUCCCACUCCAAAAUGCAAAAUGGCGGGGCAAGAUGGCAGAGAAGUGGGGAACACUUCCCUCUUCAGGCCUGCACCAUUAAACUGAGAAGAAUUAAAUAAAAGCCACAACUUUCUGAUCUCCAAGAAUGGAGGUGUGCGCACAGAGCCCUUAUUGAUAACAGCCUCAUGAAUGCCAGAGCGAGUGUGAACUGGGACCCGAGACUCUAGGGGAGGGAGCACCGGCCCAAAGCAGAGCCGGGAAAGAGGGUGCCCAGAAAUGUAGCGGCGGACCUGCUGAGAGCCGUGUGUCUAGAGGUGGCACAGCACCUAGCAGGGCCACGCGCGCAGAGCGGCCAUGCAGGGCGCCGUAGAGCCGAGGGAAAGAGAAGAGGCUGAAACGCUCAUAGCGUGAUCCCCGGAGAGGGGAGGCCUCAGCUCGCGGUGGAGAAACCCGUCCCGCUCAGCGGGCUUCUUCUCCCAUGGGCCCGACAGCCCGCUGACCUCAGGUGGAGCCAGGGAAGGACUGGCUCCCACGUUCCCCUGCGCAGUCCCGGCCAGAGAGCCCCUAGGCUGCCGGGGAUCAUGUGGACUGUGGCGGAAGCAUUAAAGUGUGUGGACGAGCAUUUAGAAACCUGGUGGAACUUGGAAAACCGAAACAAUAUGAUCGGUCCAGGGCACGGGGUGCUUGGACUCAAGAGAGCGGCCGGCAGCGCGAGGUCUGAGGGGGGCUUGGGGCGCCCACAUUCUACUUCUCUCGGAAUCCACUAGGUGGGGCCUCAGAGGGCAGUCCCUGAGACCCCACCCACCUACACAAGCCACGCCCAUCCGCCCUGGAGAGCUGGCUUCUUUUCUUACUACUUUUAGUUUUUUCAUUUUAUUCAUUUCUUAUUUUAUUUUUUAUCACUUUCUCCCUUGUUUUCUCUUUUCUAUUUUCCUAUUUCCUCGUUUUCUCCCUUUUCCCCCUGGAGUCUGAGAAAGAACAACAUUUAUGCACUGCUGUGCCUAGAUCAACCCUUACCAUCCAGAUAUUUUUCCCUUAUCUCAUUCUUCUCUCUCCCCUCUGCAGGGUUUAUGCUCUCUGACUGCCCUAUAUCUUUGGCUGUCUCUGUGCCCUUAGCUUUUUUUUUUUUCUCUCCUUUCCUAUCCUCUCUUUUCUUUCCCACUUUUUUCCUGUCCCAUUUGGUUUGCUUGUUUACUUCAUCUGUCAGUGCGUUUGUGUGCUUGUGUUCCUUGUGUGUUUGUCUGUUUUCCUUUUCAGGGCUACCUCAAGAAACAAGGCAAAGCAUACAUAGUGGAAAGUCCCAAAUAUCACUGAGUAAGGAAAUAUAUUAAUUACAAGCAGAACAAGAAAAACCGAGAGACACCAUUAAUAGAACAUCUCCUGAAACGACAGGCCUUGGACAAAGAGCCUCCUUUAAUAGAGCAAUACUAACAGGCGCACAGUGCAGAACGAGCUUUUAAAACUGACAAGAGACGGAAAGCCAGCCAAAAUGAUGAAACGAAAGAACUCUCCUCUAAAGAAAUUCCAGGAAGAAAUCAUAGCCACAAAAUUACUCAAAACAGACAUAAACAACACAACAAGAAUUUAGAACAACUGUCAUAAAAUUAAUUGCUGGGCUGGAAAAAACCAUCAGAGAAGCUACUGAUUCACAGACUAGGGACCUUCAAAAGGCUAUAAAUGAGGUGCAUAAUAAGAUGGAGGCUGCCACUGCAUGGACUGAAGAGGCAGAGAGGAGAGUAGGUGAAUUAGAAGACAGAGUUACAGCAAAAGAGGAAGCCGAGAAAAAGAGAGCAAAAUUGAUACAGGAGCACAAAAGGAGAAUUCGAGACCUGAGGGAUACAAUCACAUGGAACAAUACCCGUAUCAUAAGAGUUCCUAAAGAGGAAGAAAGAGAAAAAGGCCCUGAAGGGGUGCUUAUCAAAUUAUAGAUGAAAAAUUCUCCAAUCUGGGGAAAGAAAGACAAUGAAACUCAAGAGGCACAUCUAACUUCCCUAAGACAUAACCUGAACCGACCUUAGGCACGACAUAUCAUAGUGAAACUGGCAAAUAAUAAGGAUAAAGAGAGAAUUCUGAAAGCAGCUAAGGAUAAAAGGGCCCUAACAUACAAAGGAAAACCUAUCAGAGUGGUUAUAGACCUAUCUACUGAAACUUGGCAGGCCAGGAAGGAAUGGCAGAAAAUCUUCAAUGUGAUGAACAGGAAAAUAUGGAACCAAGAAUCCUUUAUCCAGUGAGCCUCUCAUUCAAAAUGGAAGAAAAGAUAAAGAUGUACCCAAAUAAACCCAAAUUAGGAAAAUUCAUCACCACCAAACCAGCCCUACAAGAACUCCUAAGAGGGACUCUAUGAGGGAAAAGUAGCAAGGAAUAUAAGACAGUAGAGACAUCACUACAAACAUGAACUCUACAGAGAACACAAUGAAUCUAAACCCACAUUUUUCAAUAACACUGAAUGUAAAUAUACUGAAUGCUCCAAUCAAAUGACACAGAGUAGCAAAAUGGAUACAAAAACAAAAUCCAUCUAUUUCCUGUCUACAGGAGACUCAUCUUAGACCUGAAUACACCUCCAGCUUGAAAGUAAGGGGAUGGAGAAAUAUCUACCAUGCGACUGAAGCCAAAAGAAAGCCAGAGUAGCCAUACUUAUAUCAGACAAACUGGACUUUAAAGUAGGUAGUAACAAAAGAUGAAAAAACACGUUAUAUAAUAAUUACAGGGUCUCUCCAUCAGGAAGAGCUGACAAUUAUAAACAUCUAUGCAGCGGGAGUACCCAAAUACAUAAAACAACUAAUCACAGACAGAAACCAUCUUAUCCCUAAGAAUGUGCUAAUUACAGGGGACGUUAAUACUCCACUUACAACAAUGGAUAGGUCAACCAGACAGUGAUAGGUUUGGCGGGCUUGGGAAAAGGAACACCAAGAUGGCCGACAGGCGGCCAUCCCUGGACUU
rnacentral:lncRNA from 1 species